UACGAAGGGUGCAAACGUUGCUCGGAAUUACUGGGCGUAAAGCGCACGUAGGCGGCUUUGCAAGUCAGAGGUGAAAGCCUGGGGCUUAACCCCGGAAUUGCCUUUGAGACUGCAUCGCUAGAAUUGUGGAGAGGUAAGUGGAAUUCCGAGUGUAGAGGUGAAAUUCGUAGAUAUUCGGAAGAACACCAGUGGCGAAGGCGACUUACUGGACACAUAUUGACGCUGAGGUGCGAAAGCGUGGGGAGCAAACAGG
rnacentral:rRNA from 1 species